rnacentral:rRNA from 1 species
GAUUUCUGGCUUGAAACAUUUUGCCGGCCACGGUUUCGUGUGUUAGUGCUUGAUGUUCUGGCCAUCCUUCCAAUCGCCAUUGGCUUGUCUUCAUUGAUUGGUCAGUGGUAUUGGAUCUUUUACUUUGAAAAAAUUAGAGUGUUUCAAGCAGGCUUUAUGCUAUGAAUACAUUAGCAUGGAAUAAUAAUUUAGGACUUCGGUUCUAUUUUGUUGGUUUCUAGGACUGAAGUAAUGAUUGAUAGGGAUAGUUGGGGGUGCUAGUAUUCAGCGGCCAGAGGUGAAAUUCUCGGAUUCGCUGAAGACUAACUUAUGCGAAAGCAUU